CCCAGCCCGCCUUUAGCAACCGAGUGACGUCAGCCACAUCCCCACCAGCCGCCAAACGGAACCCAUUUCUACUGCCACUGUGAGGACACGUUACAGAUUCCCUGCCAUCACCGCCAGCGCUCUCUAUCCUUUCAUCUCUCUCGUACCCACUCAGAGGCAGCCUUUCGCCCACCCCACCACCAGCAAAUAAAUCUUGUUUUGAACUGGUGCUUUGUUGCUGCUCGUAUCCACCCUCUCCUCUCAACCUCACCUCGGGUAGCUAAACCUCUUGCGCGCCAGGCUAGACUGGAGGAAGAGAAGCUUUUCCAGGCGCCAGUGUGUGCAGGCAGGAACUUGGUCAACUGUGAG
rnacentral:lncRNA from 1 species